GGCCUCGUAGCUCAGCCGGUAGAGCGUGCUCUGUACAAAAGCGCAGGCGGUGUCCAAGCAUGGGUUCAAAUCCCACAGAGGCUA
rnacentral:tRNA from 1 species